CAUAAUUCAGGUCUGACGGGGUUCGUCUGAAUUAAUUCGUCUCAAAUGUAAUAAUGUCCUAUCUAUAUUUCACAACCUUUUUUGUAGAUACGACACAAUGCGUGUCCAACCAAUCCAGGCUAAUAGUCUUGGAAAUAUGUGUAGCUAACAAUUUAAAAUGCUUGUAACCUAUAGUCUAUAUACAGUAGGUGUCACAUGGACUGACUUUGACAAAAGAGGUUUAACGUGUUACUACCUUACCUGAUGUUUUUACAGUUACAAACAAUGACCACUCAAUGGCGAGCUUUCAAAACGUCAAGGAGGAUUCAUGCUGAAGUUAUGCUUCUUUAUAUAAUAGUGUGCCAGUAUGGGUGCAGUGAGGGGGUGGCAGAGACAGCGACUGGUUCCACCAUCACAGCGAAAGUGGGGGAGAGCAUCACGUUUCCUUUCUCUGCUGAGGGCAGCCAAAGCUACACCGCUGACCUACUUUUUAAUAAUACAUUUACAAUCGUUACAUGGAUUCCUCCACAAUUCAUUCAUGUACGAGAACAAUAUAAGGGAAGGGUCAGCAUUGGCAAUGACUCGAUAUGGCUGAAAAAAUUGAGCCUAUCAGAUUCUGGUUUUUAUCAAGUUAAAAUUGAGUAUACAUCUGUAGGUUUUAAGCCGCUGGAGCACACAUACUUUCACCUGCAGGUUUUUGAGCCCGUCUCUAAACCCAGCAUCACAGCUGAGUGCCUGGGGAGUAAUGUAUGUCUGAGCUGCUUCAGCAGUCAGGGGACUGCAGUGACUUACAGCUGGGAAACUCUGCCCCCUUGUGGUAAUGACAGCUGUAUGCACCUGGGCCAAGCGAUAGACCUCCAGUUGCAAGCCCUCUCUCCAUCCACAACAUACAUGUGUACAGCCCAUAACCCUGUCAGCAGAGCCACCAGCGAUUCUGUUGAUCUGGAAAUGUGCUUCCCGCAAGGAUCACAAGUUCGAUGGGUUCCAGCCUUGUGUGCCGCAUCAGCAUUCCUCGCCUUCGGAGCACCAAUACUGGUGCUGUACACGAGGAGAAAGCACAAACAGUAUAAAAGUGAAACAAUUCAAGUGGAAGUUGAUUAGCCGCUCAUGGAAGAGGAGCCACCAUCCGCAGUGCCUUCCAUUGAUCCAGUAUAUGUCAGCACGCUUUGUUCAAGUUAUCUCAGGGGCAACUGAGGGGACCUCUGCAUGGACUAAAUAUUCAAGCAUUAUAUAGAUAGGAAAAAGGAAAGCCAAUGGGGAAUGUGAAGACCUGUUGAAAUUAAACUAUAACAAACCUUAAAUCAAGGAAUAGAAAUCCUAACAUUCUAGCAGGUUCUUGCUAAUGAUACCUUAAAGAGGUAAUUCGGCUCAUUGGUGAGAAGUCAUCUCUUAUUGAAAUGACUCAAAGAUAAAUCAUUGCUGGCUACUGAAACGAAGGAAGCUAAUGAAUUCUGUUCUCAUUUUAUUUUACCUCCUGCGAUCUUUGCAUUUCAACCAUGUAAAUCACUCUGGAUAACAUUACAUUACAUUACAGGCAUUUGGCAGACGCUCGUAUCCAGAGCGAUGUACAGCAAAGUGUAUAACCAUAACCAGGAACAAGCAUGACGAAACCACUAGAGAGAAGUACCGGUCCAAGUGCAGGGAACAACCGCAAAGUUCAACUUGAACCCUGAAGGUUAAACUGAUUAACACUAAACAACGAGAACGGCAGUGCUUGAAAAAAAAGAAAAUAUUUGUCAAUUUAGUGAUGUUCAUUUGGUAAUUUCUUAUUUUACCUACACCUACGAAACAGCUGCCUAGUUACAACCCUAAGCUUACAGUCAUUUACAGGGGGGUAGGGAGGGAUGGGGAGAGGUGCAGCCUCAGAUAAGAAUUUCUGCUUAAUCAAAGAGCGAUAUUGUAAUGUAUAUUGGUGCUGCAUAGGUAUGGGACACAAUGCCCCACCAAGGCAUAACUUGCCAUCUAAUAUGUGCCAUCCAAAUCUGGAAACAUACUGUGCUAUUUUGUUUACGAAAGCAUUUACGCAUAAGUACUGUUAAAUUACUGACAACUGAAAUGUGUAAUUUAGCUUGAAAAAAAAGAAAAUAUUUGUCAAUUUAGUGAUGUUCAUUUGGUAAUUUCUUAUUUUAUUAAAGUAUUUUUAAAACAAUUUUUUUAUACAGCAUAAAACAUAAUUGUGGACAAAUUGAGAUUGGUUAAAGCUGCUGAGUUUUGUAAUAAAUUUUUUUUACAUUUUA